GUAGGUGGCAAGCGUUGUCCGGAAUUAUUGGGCGUAAAGCGCGCGCAGGCGGUUUUUUAAAGUCUGAUGUGAAAGCCCACGGCUCAACCGUGGAGGGUCAUUGGAAACUGGAGAACUUGAGUACAGAAGAGGAAAGCGGAAUUCCACGUGUAGCGGUGAAAUGCGUAGAGAUGUGGAGGAACACCAGUGGCGAAGGCGGCUUUCUGGUCUGUAACUGACGCUGAGGCGCGAAAGCGUGGGGAGCAAACAGGGAUUAGAUACCCUGGUAGUCCACGCCGUAAACGAUGAGUGCUAAGUGUUAGGGGGUUUCCGCCCCCUUAGUGCUGCAGCUAACGCAUUAAGCACUCCGCCUGGGGAGUACGGCCGCAAGGCUG
rnacentral:rRNA from 1 species